CUUUAUUGGAGAGUUUGAUCCUGGCUCAGGACGAACGCUGGCGGCGUGCCUAAUACAUGCAAGUCGAGCGAAUUGAUGGGAGCUUGCUCCCUGAGAUUAGCGGCGGACGGGUGAGUAACACGUGGGUAACCUGCCUGUAAGAUUGGGAUAACUCCGGGAAACCGGAGCUAAUACCGGAUAACAUUUUGAACCGCAUGGUUCAAAAUUGAAAGAUGGUUUCGGCUAUCACUUACAGAUGGACCCGCGGCGCAUUAGCUAGUUGGUGAGGUAACGGCUC
rnacentral:rRNA from 1 species